CAUGCCGCGUGUGUGAAGAAGGUCUUCGGAUUGUAAAGCACUUUAAGUUGGGAGGAAGGGCAGUAACUUAAUACGUUGCUGUUUUGACGUUACCGACAGAAUAAGCACCGGCUAACUCUGUGCCAGCACCUGCGGUGACUGAGCGGGCUGGCAAGGCGCAUA
rnacentral:rRNA from 1 species